CAAUUCUGGGAAUGUUCAGGCUCUCUCUGUUCUUUCCUCUCUUGCAAACCAUGGGCACCCUUGGGUCCCUUGGGGUCACUAUGUUACACCUGCUUUUUAUCUGUCUGGGCAAGAGCUGCUCAAGCCACACCUUGUGACACUGAGGUGAAAAGGCAGGUCGGGUGAAGAAGAGCAGGAUGUUUCAUUUUUAUCAAGCAUCACCUGAUUCAAAAUGUAGCCACUGAAAAGAAGCCAUCGUUUUUGGCCUGCGUCUCUGAGGAUAAGAUAAUCAGCUAUGAAAAUACCCAGCCGGCCUGCAGCCCUCCCGGCAGAUGCUGAAAAGGAAACCCGACUGGGAGAUGCCGCCCACCCUUAUCCCCAGAGAGCUGCGUUGUUUCCUCUUGCCUUGGCCUUUGGAUCCGGCCAUAGCAAGCAUCCCUGGGCACCUGGCUGAAGCUGGAAACUCGGGAUAAGAAUGGAAGCCCUGGAAGGGAAGAAGAACCGAGGAGAGGACAGCACAUUGCACUCUCACCUCCUUUGCAGUUAAGUGUGAAAUAGUGCCAAUAGAGUGUAAAAGAAAAGAAAGAAGAUGAUUCACCUCCCAAAGAUUCCCCACUGCUGUGUCCCUUCUAUCAACUUGAUACAAAAAAACACAAUGGCCCCGGGAACCACGUGUUGAAGAUGAGAGAGCUAAAAGAUGGAAAGAGACUGGAGCCCUGAGUCACCACCUGGAGGAAAACUACCCACCCAUCAGGAAUUUCUACUACACAUUUGGGAGUUUUUGGGGUUACAGCAGCUAAUUUAACGAAAACACCCAGAGACAAGAGCUAUUACUGCACAAAUUGGUUAAGUUACCUUUUUGUAUGUUUGGGUCCUCUCUAUUCGAUGAGACUGCGCGUUCCUUUGAAGCAAAUCUGUUUAAAAUUCUUAUAUCCCCAGAGGGCCUAGCAGAGAGUAUGCACAGAGUGAGCCUUCAGUAAAUGCUGAGUAAAUAAGCUCCUAAUGGAUGAAACUGUGUCUUCGAAGUUUGUUCUGACCAGUACUUAGUAUAGGAUUUUGUGCUGUUGGUCACUUUUCAUAAAGGUUCUUGCUAUUAAGGAACUUGACAUCCAAUGUACUCAUAGAAAGUAGAAAUUCAGGGGAAACAAAUAGAAGAGAUAUGUCCAAAAAUCCAUUUAAAAUUUCAUUGACAGAUAUUUAUCUCUUUAAUCCUGGAAGUUGUUUCAUGUAAGGGAAGGUUCAGUAGAAUGAAAACAGGACUGUAAGCUGGGAGGAGAUUUGGGGUCUCUUGGCCAACUCUGCCACAAAUUGUGUUACCUUCAACUUCCCUGCCUGUAAAAUGAAGUCAGUGGUCCCUAAAAUGAAAUUGGACUAAUGGCAAAUUAGCUAGCAUUUGAUUAUACAUCGAUAGUUUCCCCAUGUGAUUUUAACGCACAAAUCAGAUUUUGGAACCAUUAGGUAGGUGAUCUUAUCUUAUGAGUUUAUCUUUUUCAACAUGGAAAAAUAAAUUUGUUUUGCUGACCGAAGGCUGUGUAACUUAGAACUGGAAAGAGACAUGUAAUUGAAUAACCCAUCUCUAUGGGGCAAAAAAAUGAAACACCUUUAGUUUGUUCAAAGAUGAAAUGGAAAAAUAAACAUGUUUUAAGAUGACUUGGUAGAGA
rnacentral:lncRNA from 1 species